AUGUCUUUGUAUCCGUUGCUUAAUGGUACGAUUGAUAAAGGUCACUGGGCUGCACUUAUGCAAGGGGGCAAGAACUUAGACGUUUUGGUCACUCGCACCCCGAAGACUAACUGGAUGAUACACCCUUCAUGGGUUGAUAGGUUAAGUUGGGCUGGACUUCUACCCUUGGCACGGCUGGUUGAGGGUAUGUUGGAAGAGUGGGUUGACCAUCCGAACUUGGAUGAGGCAGGUGAACCAAUGCAGUUGAAAAAGAGGCAAGUGAAACGAUUCUCUUACGACAGGUCACUCCUUACUUGCUUAGUAGAUAGAUGGAGACCAGAGACACACACCUUUCACUUUCCUUGGGGAGAGAUGGCGCCUACUUUACAGGAUGUCUCCUACUUGUUGGGAUUACCUUUGGCCGGUGAUGCCAUAGGUCCUUUAGAGGCAGAACCUGGCUGGCUUGCAAAUAUGCAGGCCCGUUUUCUAGCUGCGGUGCCAACUGCUACGGGCUUAAACGAUGAUCCUCACGGGCCACGUUUUAGGUGGUUGAGCCAGUUUCAGAUUGUCUCAUUAGGAUACCCCGCAGUAGAUUUGUCAGACGCACAGAUUGAUCGAUCCCUAUAG
rnacentral:rRNA from 1 species